rnacentral:rRNA from 1 species
GCGUGCUUACACAUGCAAGUCGAGCGGAAGGCCCUUCGGGGUACUCGAGCGGCGAACGGGUGAGUAACACGUGAGCAACCUGCCUUCAGCUCUGGGAUAAGCCUGGGAAACUGGGUCUAAUACCGGAUAGGACUCCUGCCUGCAUGGGUGGGGGUGGAAAGAUUUAUUGGCUGAAGAUGGGCUCGCGGCCUAUCAGCUUGUUGGUGGGGUGAUGGCCUACCAAGGCUUUUACGGGUAGCCGGCCUGAGAGGGCGACCGGCCACACUGGGACUGAGACACGGCCCAGACUCCUACGGGAGGCAGCAGUGGGGAAUAUUGCACAAUGGGCGGAAGCCUGAUGCAUCAACGCCGUCGUGAGGGAUGACGGCCUUCGGGUUGUAAACCUCUUUCAGCGGGGACGAAGCGUAAGUGACGGUACCCGCAGAAGAAGCGCCGGCCAACUACGUGCCAGCAGCCGCGGUAACACUUAGGGCGCGAGCGUUGUCCGGAAUUAUUGGGCGUAAAGGGCUCGUAGGCGGUUUGUUGCGUCUAAAGUGAAAAUCCGGGGCUUAACUCCGGACUUGCUUUCAAUACUGGCAGACUAGAGGUAGGCCGGGGAGAGUGGAAUUCCUGGUGUAGCGGUGGAAUGCGCAGAUAUCAGGAGGAACACCGGUGGCGAAGGCGGCUCUCUGGGCCUUACCUGACGCUGAGGAGCGAAAGCGUGGGGAGCGAACAGGAUUAGAUACCCUGGUAGUCCACGCCGUAAACGUUGGGCGCUACGGUGUGGGGGACUUCCACGUCCUCCGUGCCGCAGCUAACGCAUUAAGCGCCCCGCCUGGGGAGUACGGCCGCAAGGCUAAAACUCAAAGGAAUUGACGGGGGCCCGCACAAGCGGCGGAGCAUGUUGCUUAAUUCGAUGCAACGCGAAGAACCUUACCUGGGUUUGACAUGCAGAGAAAUCUCGUAGAGAUACGGGGUCCGUAAGGGCUCUGCACAGGUGGUGCAUGGCUGUCGUCGCUCGUGUCGUGAGAUGUUGGGUUAAGUCCCGCAACGAGCGCAACCCUCGUCCUAUGUUGCCAGCGGGUAAUGCCGGGAACUCAUAGGAGACUGCCGGGGUCAACUCGGAGGAAGGUGGGGAUGAGGUCAAGUCAUCAUGCCCCUUAUGUCCAGGGCUGCAAACAUGCUACAAUGGUCGGUACAAUGGGCUGCGAAAUCGUAAGGUGGAGCGAAUCCCUAAAAGCCGGCCUCAGUUCGGAUCGGGGUCUGCAACUCGACCCCGUGAAGUUGGAGUCGCUAGUAAUCGCGGAUCAGCAACGCCGCGGUGAAUACGUUCCCGGGCCUUGUACACACCGCCCGUCAAGUCAUAAAGUCGGCAAUACCCGAAGCCGGUGACCUAACCCCUUGUGGGAUGGAGCCGUCGAGA